rnacentral:rRNA from 1 species
GACGAACGCUGGCGGCGUGCUUAACACAUGCAAGUCGAACGGAAAGGCCCUGCUUUUGUGGGGUGCUCGAGUGGCGAACGGGUGAGUAACACGUGAGUAACCUGCCCUUGACUUUGGGAUAACUUCAGGAAACUGGGGCUAAUACCGGAUAGGAGCUCCUGCUGCAUGGUGGGGGUUGGAAAGUUUCGGCGGUUGGGGAUGGACUCGCGGGUUAUCAGCUUGUUGGUGGGGUAGUGGCUUACCAAGGCUUUGACGGGUAGCCGGCCUGAGAGGGGGACCGGCCACAUUGGGACUGAGAUACGGCCCAGACUCCUACGGGAGGCAGCAGUGGGGAAUAUUGCACGAUGGGCGGAAGCCUGAUGCAGCAACGCCGCGUGCGGGAUGACGGCCUUCGGGUUGUAAACCGCUUUCGCCUGUGACGAAGCGUGAGUGACGGUAAUGGGUAAAGAAGCACCGGCUAACUACGUG